ensembl:rRNA 5S_rRNA 5S ribosomal RNA
GUCUACAGCCAUACCACCCUGAACGUGCCCGAUCUCAUCUGAUCUCGGAAGCUAAGCAGGGUCGGACCUGAAGAGAUUUUGAAGAAUUAAAAAUUACAAAGCUAAGGUGGGAGAACUGAAGAUA